GAUUUCUGAUCUUGUUUACAACGGAUUUGGAGGUGGCUAACUAUCCUGAAUUCCCACAAAUAAGAAAGAAGACUGAAGUUCAGAGAGGUGAAGGGACUGGCUCAGGGGCUACCCCUAUGGUUGCGGGAGCUAAGAUUCCAGCCCAGCAGCGUGAUCCAGAGCCCAUCUGAGCUACCCAGAUCUUCCUGCUGUUAAACCCGUCCUGGGGCAGCUCUUGCCUGAUGGGCUACCUGAGGAACCCACAGGAAAUCAAGGGAGGUGCCUGCAAAGUUGCCGUGGGGUCACAGCCUGCCCUUUGGAAGGGGCUGUUUCUGGGCUGCUGUGACUUCCUGCCAUUAUUUCCUCUCUGUUCUCCCUCUGGAAUGAAUAAAGUACUUCUGAAAAACCAUCAACCCAGUCGAUACGGAAAUGCUGGUCCCUACAAUAGAAUGCUCUGUGGUCAUUAAAAAGAUUAAAAAGGUCAA
rnacentral:lncRNA from 1 species